GUAGCGGCGAGUGAAGCGGCAAAAGCUCAAAUUUGAAAUCUGGCACUUUCAGUGUCCGAGUUGUAAUUUGAAGAAGGUAUCUUUGGGUCUGGCUCUGUCUAUGUUUCUUGGAACAGAACGUCACAGAGGGUGAGAAUCCCGUGCGAUGAGAUGUCCCAGACCUAUGUAAAGUUCCUUCGAAGAGUCGAGUUGUUUGGGAAUGCAGCUCUAAGUGGGUGGUAAAUUCCAUCUAAAGCUAAAUAUUGGCGAGAGACCGAUAGCGAACAAGUACAGUGAUGGAAAGAUGAAAAGAACUUUGAAAAGAGAGUGAAAAAGUACGUGAAAUUGUUGAAAGGGAAGGGCUUGAGAUCAGACUUGGUAUUUUGUAUGUUACUCUCUCGGGGGUGGCCUCUACAGUUUACCGGGCCAGCAUCAGUUUGGGCGGUAGGACAAUUGCAAAGAAAUGUGGCACUGCCUCGGUAGUGUGUUAUAGUCUUUGUCGAUACUGCCAGCCUAGACUGAGGACUGCGGCUUCGGCCUAGGAUGUUGGCAUAAUGAUCUUAAGUCGCCCGUCUUGAAACACGGACCAAGGAGUCUAACGUCUAUGCGAGUGUUUGGGUGUAAAACCCGUACGCGUAAUGAAAGUGAACGUAGGUAGGACCUCCUUUAGGAGUGCACUAUCGACCGAUCCUGAUGUCUUCGGAUGGAUUUGAGUAAGAGCAUAGCUGUUGGGACCCGAAAGAUGGUGAACUAUGCCUGAAUAGGGUGAAGCCAGAGGAAACUCUGGUGGAGGCUCGUAGCGGUUCUGACGUGCAAAUCGAUCGUCGAAUUUGGGUAUAGGGGCGAAAG
rnacentral:rRNA from 1 species